GAUGAACGCUGGCGGCGUGCCUAAUACAUGCCAGUCGAGCGAACAGACGAGGAGCUUGCUCCUUUGACGUUAGCGGCGGACGGGUGAGUAACACGUAGGUAACCUACCUAUAAGACUGGGAUAACUUCGGGAAACCGGAGCUAAUACCGGAUAAUAUUUCGAACCGCAUGGUUCGAUAGUGAAAGAUGGCUUUGCUAUCACUUAUAGAUGGACCUGCGCCGUAUUAGCUAGUUGGUAAGGUAACGGCUUACCAAGGCAACGAUACGUAGUCGACCUGAGAGGGUGAUCGGCCGCACUGGAACUGAGACACGGUCCAGACUCCUAUGGGAGGCAGCAGUAGGGAAUCUUCCGCAAUGGGCGAAAGCCUGACGGAGCAACGCCGCGUGAGUGAUGAAGGUCUUCGGAUCGUAAAACUCUGUUAUUAGGGAAGAACAAACGUGUAAGUAACUGUGCACGUCCUGACGGUACCUAAUCAGAAAGCCACGGCUAACUACGUG
rnacentral:rRNA from 1 species